AUUGAACGCUGGCGGCAGGCCUAACACAUGCAAGUCGAACGAGUGGCGGACCGGUGAGUAAUGUCUGGGAAACUGCCUGAUGGAGGGGGAUUACUACUGGACACCGUAGCUAAUUCCGCAUACCAUCAGAUGUGCCCAGAUGGGAUUAGCUUGUUGGUGGGGUAACGGAUCACAAAGGCGACGAUCCCUAGCUGGUCUGUGAGGAUGACCAGGCACACUGGAACUGGGACACGGUCCAGACUCCUACGGGAGGCAGCAGGGGGAAAUAGUGCACAAUGGGCGCAAGCCUGAUGCAGCCAUGCCGCGUGUAUGAAGAAGGCCUUCGGGUUGUAAAGUACUUUCAGCGGGGAGGCGUUACCCGCAGAAGAAGCACCGGCUAACGCCGUGCCAGCAGCCGCGGUAAUAC
rnacentral:rRNA from 1 species